rnacentral:sRNA from 1 species
AAGCAGAAACAGUAAA